UGGGGGUGCCGCGGCGUCGAUUUCUUUUUCAUGCUUGAAACCGUGAUUAGGGGACACCGAGUGCCAGCAUCAUAUGCUGGCUGUCCAGGUGUGUAAAAUACACCUGUCACCAAGGGCCGGGCAAUACCGGUGCCAGACCGCCGCGGUAACACCGGCGGCCCGAGUGGUGAUCGUUGAUUAUUGGGUCUAAAGGGUCCGUACCCGGUUUGGUCAGUCCUCCGGGAAAUCUGACGGCUCAUCCGUUAUGCUUUCCGGGGAUACUGCCUGGCUUGGAACCGGGAGAGGUAAGAGGUACUACAGGGGUAGGAGUGAAAUCUUGUAAUCCCUGUGAGACCACCUGUGACAAAUGCGUCUUACCAUAACGGGUUUUACGGUCAGGGACUAAAGCUGGGGGCUCGAACCGGAUUAGAUACCCCGGUAGUCGCAACCGUAAUUGAUGCUCCCUUGGUGUCAGGUGUGUUUCAACCGUGUCUGGUGCCGCAUGUAAACCCUGAAACUAGCCGUCUGCUAAUUACUGUUUCCAGGAUUAAACUUAUUUGACUUGGGGGGCGACCAC
rnacentral:rRNA from 1 species